GCAGCAGUUUCCCUUCAAAGAACGGGUCAAAUUCAUGGAAGCCACGUGCCUGCUGCUUCUGGCCUACACAAAUAUGCAGCCACCAUAGUAAAGUUCUUGCAAAGACAUUCUACUCAAACUUGCCCAAAGGCGGAAGGAAGGCACGCACAGAUGGACGCACAGAAAUCAUGGGGCUGCCGUAGAAGCUGUGAAUGAGCAUUAACCUACGUACAGAAAGGAGCGAAGUGGAGCUGUCCAUGGGCCGUGCACACAGUUUCAUAAGCAGGCUUGCAACACUUUUGAAAAAUAUGUUCCUGAAUACAUCUGCC